rfam:Triticum aestivum genome assembly, contig: Triticum_aestivum_CS42_TGACv1_scaffold_602975_7DL
CUUUUACUCCCUCCGUCCCAAAAUUCCUGUCUUAGAUUUGCCUUGAUACAUCCGUAUUUAGAUAAAUCUAAGACAAGAAUUUUGGGACAGAGGGAGUACUAU